rnacentral:rRNA from 1 species
AUACGGAGGAUCCGAGCGUUAUCCGGAUUUAUUGGGUUUAAAGGGUGCGUAGGUGGUUUGAUAAGUCAGCGGUGAAAGUUUGCAGCUUAACUGUAAAAAUGCCGUUGAAACUGUCGGACUUGAGUGUAAAUGAGGUAGGCGGAAUGCGUGGUGUAGCGGUGAAAUGCAUAGAUAUCACGCAGAACUCCGAUUGCGAAGGCAGCUUACUAAGCUACAACUGACACUGAAGCACGAAAGCGUGGGGAUCAAACAGGAUUAGAUACCCUGGUAGUCCACGCAGUAAACGAUGAUUACUAGCUGUUUGCGAUACACAGUAAGCGGCACAGCGAAAGCGUUAAGUAAUCCACCUGGGGAGUACGCCGGCAACGGUGAAACGCAAAUGAAUUGGCGGGGG